AUUGAAUAUUAAAUUUAUUGUUUAUUAUAUAUAUGUAUAAUUUUGGUUAUUAUUUAUUUAAUUAAGGUUUUAAAUUUUUAUUCUUUAAUUUUUUUUUAUUAUUUUUUUAUUAUAUGUGAUGAAGAAGGGGAAGGAAAAUGAGAAUUGUGGGAACAACACCUUGUAUAUGAGAAUUUCAAACCAUUGUACUAGAUCCACAGGAAUUCUAUUUCAAAUAAAAGUUGUCAAGAGUCUUUGGAAUUCUAUAAAAGUCUAUAAAAAUUUUAAAAUAAAAGUUAAUAGAAGUCUAUGACUUUUACUAAUUCCAUAUAAAUCUAUAAAAGAUCCAAGAAAUCCAUAGAAGUCAUCACUUAAAAAAGUCUUAUCAAAGUCUUCAAAAGUCCUAAUUGAAUAUACCCUCCCCGAAGGUGUUCUUAUAUUUUUCAUUUUAGACAACAUUUCAUAUUCCAUUUACUUUACCUUUAUUCUGCGGGUCAUAAAAUGUUUUUACAUUUUUAUGGACAAUUAUCCAAUCUAGUAUUAACAAAAAACUAUCCAAACCAAUAAAACUAAACUUUUAUGAUAGUUAGAUGAAACGUGAUAAAUAUGAUAUUAUAAAUUGAAGGAUCCAUGCCAUUGAAAAUCUGUGUGUGUGUGAGGGGUGUGAGAGAGAGCCCUGUACUCAUAAUCACAAGUUGAAAUAGUUCCAAGUGUAGUCCUUUUACUUCCUAAUUUCAUUGACAUUUAUUACUUUGUAGGCUACCUUUACUGCAACUACUCUGGCCUUGUUAUGGUUACCUAGUGAAUCGUCAAGAUAAGAGGAAAAUGGAGGAACUUAACUACAUAGCUUGUACUUGCCUUAAACCCUGGCAGACUGCUUAAGAUUUUGUUGAUUCAACUCACUGUAUGACAGAUAUAUAUAAUGUGUUGCGGUAUAGAGCUACCUUGUUUCUUUUUCAGUUGUUCAGAAGCUAAAUGCCACAUUGUUUGACAUAGUAGCGUGUGUAUGUGUUUCUUAUUUAAGUUAAACCAAGUGAUUUGGAUGGAACUGUGUUGGUAGGAUUUCAGUAAGUUUGGCAGUAUUUUUGCUGGACUUAAAUGAUCGUCAAUUCAUCAUGGGCAUCGAGGUGUACUUCAUCCAGGUUGCAUUAUCUUAUACUUUUUUUUUUUUAAUAAUCAUUUGAUUGAAUGGACUAACAAUGACCAGUAUAAGACCAGCGAUAUAUGAACCGUUUUGUUUGGGAGGAUUGCUUGUCACUCUGCAAUUAUUUUCCUAAAGUUUCCAACAGAUUGUCACCGACUUGGCAUUGUGAAAUAUUAAAUUUAUAUUAGCUUAAAAUAAUGUCUCAUUUUUGGACUAUUUUGACCAAAGUAGUGAAAUACGUCCAUUUAUACUCGACAUUGGUCUUUUUGUUUGGAGUUAUGGUGGAGGCUAUAUUGGGCUCUAGUGGAGUUUAGCUUGCAUCUUAUGGUGAGUCAUUCUUCUCAAAUUAUUUUGGGCUAUGGUGUUAGAAAAGGAGGAAAAAUCUAAUAGUGGUUUUAUAGUUGUCAUUCCUUUAGUGCUUUGACAGCAAGACAAGAACUUUUCUGCAACGAUCUUCCGCCUACUGCUCAUGGGAUUGGUGGUUUUUAUGUUAUCUUUAUGUUUUUAUUGGAGUUCAAUUCUUGUUUUUUGCUUAUGUAUAGAAUCUCUCGUCCUCAAAUGAUAUGCGUUCUUAGGAGAAUUCUAGAAGCAAAAGGUGUAAUUUAGAAUUUGUCAUGUCUAUGAGAGCGGUCCCCUUGCGAAUUUUCUUUCAUGCAUUCAUGAGAAUGUUACUUCAUUGCCUUUAUCAAUAAAAACACGAAGCUGAAAAUUGCCUUCUGUUUUAAGCUUUUCAGAGUCCUAACUAUGUCCCUCCCCUCCUCCCCUCCUCCCACUUUUCCUUCCCUCCUUCUAGGCUUGACAGUUCAGUUUUAUUGUUUUUGUACAUUUAGCUAAGUCGUGGGUAUUAUACAAAUUUGUUGAAUGUAGGUUUUGCGGUAACUUGAGUUAUCAAAUUUUAUUCACCGUCCUGUGCUUUUUUAUAUGCAUAUUAGGGGCUAUGCUGAGUUUGUUAGAAUUAUUCCGAUGUCCUGAAGUACUGAAUUGCUAGUGGAGUUGGAGAUUCCUUGAAAUUUAGGAAGUGAUUAUUAAUUGGUUCUUUGCAGAGCCUUUGAAGUCCUAAUUGCAUUGUUUUAUGCUGUCUAAUCGAAGAAUUGAUGCCCAAGGGAUUUGGCAGUGUAUUUUAGUUAGUUCUUGACUUUCAGAAAGUUAGACCAGCACUAAGCUUUUGAAAAUAGUUUCUUUGAUUGAGUCUUAGCCUGUGCAAUUCUUUUUCCAUGCGAUGAGCCAUCUGAAUUGAAUCCCAUUAUUAUUAUUUUUUUUAAUUUUUAUUUAUUAUUUUUUUUCUUCAGUAACAGGAAUGGUUAGAACUUGAAUUUUUCAUCGAAGCUUGUGGGAGAAGAUCUCCACACUGUGUCCUCCAACAUUUAUGUUAAAAACUUCUUUUGCCUGUAAUUGCAUUUUGAGGACAUCAGGUUCCCAUUUAACCUAGAUGACAACAGGCUACAUAGUACAAUGUCAUUGUCGUGGCAAAAAUUGAAUCAGAAGUUUCGUGUGUGCAUGCUCAUCUUCAAUCUUUUAUGUCUUCUCAGAUCUGAUUUUGUUCUAUUAAUAGUUGGAUUCACAAUGCUAAUGGAUCUUUUCAUCAUAUUGUGCUAUCCAAAUAAUCCAUGUCGGAACCUAGGAACUCACUGUAACUGGUUUUUGGUGGAGAUGAUGGAUCUUGUAGGAUUCUGAAAACGAUUUUUCAUUUUCUUCCGGAAGCAUAUGAUUAAGCAUUCAUUCCUCACAUUCUGUGAUUAUGAAGAAGGAAAAUGCCCAAUGUACAGGGCAUUUUCUCACAGAGCUUUUACAGGAAAGACACAUGGGGGUGGGCCCCAUGUGAAUAUUUUAUUGAGGUGUGUGUAUUCUCUGAAGUACCUGUAUGUUUUUCCUCUGUAAGUGUAGCACAAUUCUAUGAAGAAAUUGCAGAUCUAUUCACUUUAUCAUUUACAGAAGAUGGAUAUGGUUUAUUUUAUGGGGUUUUCCUGUUCUGUUGAUUCCUUGGAACUAGUUGGACGUAAUAAUUCACUUGUUGCACCAUUCGUGUUUUACAAUUGGUUGCUGCUGCACGAAUUGGUGUUUCUUCAAUCUUAUUGAUUAGAGAAAACUAUUGCAUUUCAUUCUCCUGACGUUUAUAUUUCAAACUAUGCCAUAUACUCUAUAUACAUGGCCCGCAGACAUAAAAUGAGUUCCACUGUAGAAUGCAUCACGCUGGGAAUAGUACUUUGACACAGGAUAAGUGUCAUGAAUUGUUGUGGACUGCUUGGUGAAGAAAACCUGUUUAAAUUGGUAUAAUAAGAGAGUAUAGGAAAACUUACGACUGUCAAAUGUUGUAAGUUCUCUUUCACGGCGUUCAUUUUGGGUUCCUUGUAUUUGCCUUUCUAAAAUUGCCUGUCCUCUCAUUGAGCGUAUAAGGAGAGGUUAUUUUUCUGGAGUUUUGCAUUACUAUCUGGUCCAGAGUUUCUCUGUCUAAUACUUAUGUGAAGUAUGAGAGUAUGAAUCACAAUAAUCAAGUAAGUUUAUGUUAAAAUAUGAAUCCAUGCAUGGGAGGGAGAAGGGACAACAUAUCUAAUAAUAUGAUGACACAGAUUUUAUCUGCUGGUUGUUCAUGACUAAACAUUAUGUCUUGAUUUAAGAAGUAUAUUUCUGUUUAAAUGCUCCAUCUGACCAUUGUAUAAUCUCUAAUUGUCGUCAGAUUAAGUGCAGGAAAUAAACAUACCAAUUAUGUAUCUAUUGAUGGCUUUCCCCUGCCUUUUGUUGUGUUUUUCCUAUUUAGUAUGUCGUCGAAUCAACUUCACCAAACAUGUCAUAGUUACGUCCUUCGUUCAUUGUUUCACCUGCCUCUUAUUUGGCUUUUCAUACAGAUAAAACGGAGACUACAGAAGACAGAUUCAUGUGCAAGCAACCUGCAUGAACCCUUACCUUAGCACGGCAUUGAGGAUGUCUGCUGAGAAACUGAAAGAAUUAGAGGAAAGAAAAUUUCUUUUUGUCAAUGUUCGGCUAAAAGCUUUAAAAGAAAGGUAAAAGUGACUUUCAUUUUCGAAUGUGUUUGAAUUAAAAGUGGC
rnacentral:lncRNA from 1 species